GCCUCUGUAGCUCAGUUGGUUAGAGCGGUGCACAGGAAUCGCAGAGUCGCAGGACGUUCGGUUCCUGUCCGGCGGCU